ACCGCGUACUUACCUACUGUAUG
rnacentral:miRNA from 1 species